rnacentral:rRNA from 1 species
UUGCUCUUCAACGAGGAAUGCCUAGUAAGCGCGUGUCAUCAGCACGCGUUGAUUACGUCCCUGCCCUUUGUACACACCGCCCGUCGCUACUACCGAUUGAAUGGCUCAGUGAGGCGUUCGGAGCCUGGCCCAAGGGUUGGCAACGACCCUAGUGGACGGGUGAAGUUCGUCAAACUCGGUCAUUUAGAGGAAGUAAAAGUCGUAACAAGGUUUCCGUAGGUGAACCUGCGGAAGGAUCAUUACCGUGGGGGCCCCCCGGGGCCCCUGCCGAGAUAGCACCCCUUGUCUUACAGCACCAACCGUUUCCUCGGCGGGCUCGCCCGCCAACGGGGACCGAACAAACCCUCAAACCGCAGUUUCAGAAGUCAAAAACGUAACCAAACAAAAAAAAAUCAAAACUUUCAACAACGGAUCUCUUGGUUCUGGCAUCGAUGAAGAACGCAGCGAAAUGCGAUAAGUAGUGUGAAUUGCAGAAUUCAGUGAAUCAUCGAAUCUUUGAACGCACAUUGCGCCCUUUGGUAUUCCUUAGGGCAUGCCUGUUCGAGCGUCAUAAAACCCCCUCAAGCGCAGCUUGUUGUUGGGCGCCUGUCCGGCACCGGACUCGCCCCGAAUCCAUUGGCGGCCCCCGCAUUGGGCUAUCGAGCGCAGCAGAAUUGCGCCUCGGGCACAGAGCGAGGGCGACCAUGAGCGACCCACCCACUUUGACCUCGGAUCAGGUAGGGAUACCCGCUGAACUUAAGCAUAUCAAUAAGCGGAGGA